GGAUGAAUAGCUCCAAUGGUAGAGCAGCGGUUUGAAGCACCGCCAGUGCAGGUUCGAGUCCCGCUUCAUCCACCA
rnacentral:tRNA from 1 species